AGUGAACGCUGGCGGUAGGCCUAACACAUGCAAGUCGAACGGCAGCACAGUAAGAGCUUGCUCUUACGGGUGGCGAGUGGCGGACGGGUGAGGCAUACAUCGGAAUCUACUUUUUCGUGGGGGAUAACGUAGGGAAACUUACGCUAAUACCGCAUACGACCUACGGGUGAAAGCAGGGGAUCUUCGGACCUUGCGCGAUUGAAUGAGCCGAUGUCGGAUUAGCUAGUUGGCGGGGUAAGGGCCCACCAAGGCGACGAUCCGUAGCUGGUCUGAGAGGAUGAUCAGCCACACUGGAACUGAGACACGGUCCAGACUCCUACGGGAGGCAGCAGUGGGGAAUAUUGGACAAUGGGCGCAAGCCUGAUCCAGCCAUACCGCGUGGGUGAAGAAGGCCUUCGGGUUGUAAAGCCCUUUUGUUAGGAAAGAAAAGCAGCAUGUGAAUACCCCGCUGUUCUGACGGUACCCAAAGAAUAAGCACCGGCUAACUUCGUG
rnacentral:rRNA from 1 species